AUGACAGAUGUGCAGCAGCACGCUCGGCUCAAAAUUUAUCACCAUUUUCCUUACCUAGACCUCGUCAUCGCAUCUGAACCGUGUGGCCCAUGGCUCUGUUCCACGAAGCCUGCUGGGACACUUGCGUUUCUCACCACAGAGCGGUUGCCAUGGCCCCAUUUUUAUGAUGCACGAAUAACAUUUAUGACAGGCAGUCAGCAUUCCAGGCAGUGGCCUAAGCUGCACCUUGGGUCUCAGAAAGGCACCGGCACCGGGCCGGUGUGUAUCACACUACACAACACUCAGCGGGCUGCUUUACCAGGAAAAAGGUUACAAGAAAUGAAAUACAGACAUCGGAGCAGCCCGCGCCCCUUACAAGCAGACACGCGGUUUCCAGCCCACGUGACGCUCGCCGGCUGUGGUCCCAAGCUGCUCAGGGUGACGAGCCCAGCUCUGAGCAAACAAGCACAUAAAUGUGAGGGAAGCUGCUGACAUAUUUCUUGGCUACCGGAUCAAAUUAUAUAAUGGCGCUAGAUCUCUCCCGCCGCCCCAGCACACAUGAGACCGUCAGCACCCACACCCACCCGCUCACCUCCCCAGCGCUUGUGGCGCACAACUUGGCAUCAGGCUAUUAGAAAUCACAAUAAUUACUUGCUUUACAAUUGCUCCAAAUGAAAGAGAUCAUUAAAGUGCGCACAUGAAAAGAUGAUCUCAUUCUAAGAUGGCUCUGCUUUCUUCUUCCCGCCUUGCUGCGUUCUCAGCCAUCCGUGUGAGCAGCACCCACAAAUGCCCAGCAGGGCAAAGUCGGAAGCGGAUGCCAACAGCACAGGCACUGAAGUUCUUCUCCCCCCACCCCCCAGUUUUGUUGCGCAGAGGUGAAAGACACAGCAUUCUCUGAGCUCUGCUACCAGGAGGGGGCAAAGGAGAGGACGUCCAGCCUCUGCGCCACAGGCCAGGAUGACCAAGGCCACAACUGCCACCUACUUCUGACGUUAAACUCUGAAGACGUGAAAUGCACCCGAUGCUUUGAAAACAUCUAGGAAAUUAAAAUGAUAACAGCAUCACCCCUGGAAGCAGAUACUAAAGACACCGCUGUCUGUGUACCUCGGUGGAGCUCCUCAAGCCUCCUCAUAGAUGCAGCUCCACACGCAGCAGGCUGCCUGCCCUGUGGCGUCUCUCCCAGGCAACCCCCAAGGCUGAAUCUUCACUGUCACUGCAGUUCCCCCAGGUCCCGCACUGGCUCCUCCCGCAGCCCUUCUCCAGCCACCCUACACCCCACUGCCCGUGCACCGUGGGCUGGAACCAGCUCUUUCCAGCACUGCUCUACCUGGCCCAGGGUCCACAGCCUCCUCCCCACCAAAGCACUGACUUCCAGUUUUGCUUCCUGCUCAGUGUGACUCAGCCAGGACUUCUUCCCAGUUACCCACCCAUUCAGAUCGGUCUCAGCCCAGGGCCUUGAUGUGUGGAGCAGGAAGAAACCUGCCUGAGAGGAGGGGAAUCGAUCCUGCCACCCACGGUGAAGUAAAUCCUGACCUUCGAGAAGCAGUGAAAUGGAUAAUCUCAAAAACACAUGCAAAGGAUGCAACAGAGUCACCUGCCCUCCAGACACUGGAAAGGAGAACAUGGCGACUUUGUUUUCCAACCUUGAGCGUGAGAUGAGGAGACAUUCACCGUGAAAUGCAGCACGUUUGGAUAAAGGCGCAGCAAGGUCCCCGCUGAGUACCCGCGGACCCGCCAUUGUGAGCCUGCACGGGGUACUCGCCUCUGACCCAAGCCCAGCACGCUGGAGAGCUGGGGAGAUAUGGCUGUGUUGCCCAGGUUGAUGCCAGUAGCUGGACAGGUUCCAAAGUGACAGCACAGAGGCACGGGACAAAGUGGGGCUGCGGUAGGGAGAGCAGGCCUGGCCCUGUGGCACAUACAGUGCGUGGGUGGGGUGGCCAGAGCUCUUCAGCCUAAACUGCAGCUGCGGGAGGAUACCACCGAGGGCACGUGCACACCAGGGUGAUGUGGAGACGGAAGCUACUUCUAUUUCUGGGUGUCAGGGACUCUUCGGUCUUGAGUUGGGCAGCAGCUAAUUUGGGGCCAGCCGUACACACAUCCAGGGCUCACGUCCGCUGGGGGAACCAGCCUGUGUGUGGCCGUGCUGUGUGGGCACCACGAACACCGCCAGCCCUGCCGCAGCCACACAGCGCACGCCUCAGGCCUCACCUCCCUGGUUGGGCCCCGCCCUUGGGCUGGUGACAGCCCCCGAGACAAAGCAGGAACCGGCCCAAAGGCACAGACCACGCUGAGCACAGAGCAAUACUCAAGCCAGUCAGGCCACCAAGGAGGGGCCGAGAAGCCAGCCUAUGGCCUCCCUGGCCAAUCACAGAGCUCUCUGGCUGGUCACAGAGCCACCCUGCCUUCACUUCCUGGGGCUGCGGCCACAAUGGCCACAGCUUAAGACAAGAGCUGGUUCCUUGGCAUUCUGUAGGGUGGAAAUCCAAGCUCACGGCUGCCCCGGGGGUAUUUCUGCCAGAAGUCCUGGGGAGUGAUCCAGACCAUGCCUGCCUCGGCCUUUGGGUGGUGCCAGUGGUCCCCGGUGUCCCUGGGCCAUAAACAAAGCUCUUGCACCAGUCCCUGUCUCCCCCAUAUUCGGAGCCUCCUACCAAAUAAGGCAUGGGAGCAGGCUCCAGGGAGCCACAUCGCCAAGCGGCCAGGGGCACACACUCUCCUUUAGAAGGCUGACGGCUAGGGAGAUUUCCGCUUCUCAUUCACCUGUCUGUGGGCCUCAUAGAACAGCGGCCUCCCUGGGCAGCACGCGGUCAGCACAGCACUCCCGUGUGGCCCAGCCAAGUCUGGAGAAGAACAGGGAGGUUUUGAGCACCAUAAAUGAGUGCAUUCUGGGAACCUAAUGUUUCAUCAAGCGGGUCACAAUUUUCAA
rnacentral:lncRNA from 1 species